GACGUUGACGUCACGCCAACAGACCCAGUCGCUAAGUCAACGUCACGUGAUGUGCCCUCCCCCGCCCCUUUCGUCUCACCCGCCUACUGGGGGUUGGGCCUAGGUGGAUCGCCCACGUGAUGCGGGGGCGGGCCGCUGCCAGUCACGUGGCCCUGCACCUCCCCGGCGCGCGCCCGCCCGCCCGCUCGCUCGCCCCCGGUCCCCGGCUCCUCCUCCUCCUUUUCUCGCCAUUGCAGUUGGGACUGAAGCAGCCCCGGCGAAAACCGCGUGGCUUUUUUUUUUUUUUUUGAGGGGGGUUGUGAAGACUCCGGAAGGCUCGUGGCAGGAGGGCGGCGGCGCCUGAAGGCGAAGGACGGGAACACCGGCAAGAUAGUUGAAGUAUUGGUAACACCAAGGAACUGUCACAAUUUGAAAAGAUAAGCCAAGACUGAUUUCCAGACACUACAAGAAAAAAGGAGGGGAAAAUGCGUCCCAUGAGAAUUUUUGUGAAUGAUGAUCGCCACGUGAUGGCAAAGCAUUCUUCAGUGUACCCAACACAAGAGGAGCUGGAGGCUGUACAGAACAUGGUGUCCCAUACUGAGCGGGCCCUGAAGGCUGUCUCUGACUGGAUUGAUGAGCAGGAGAAAGGCAACAGCGAGCUCUCUGAGGCAGAAAAUAUGGACACACCCCCAGACGAUGAGAGCAAAGAAGGGGCUGGGGAACAGAAGGCGGAACACAUGACUAGGACCCUGAGGGGCGUGAUGCGGGUCGGCCUGGUAGCCAAGGGUCUUCUGCUCAAGGGGGACUUGGAUCUGGAGCUGGUUCUGCUCUGUAAGGAGAAGCCCACAACCGCCCUUCUGGACAAGGUGGCUGACAACCUGGCCAUCCAGCUCACUACUGUAACAGAAGACAAGUAUGAAAUACUCCAGUCUGUGGAUGAUGCUGCGAUUGUGAUAAAAAACACAAAAGAGCCCCCCUUGUCCUUGACCAUCCAUCUGACCUCCCCUGUUGUCAGAGAAGAAAUGGAGAAAGUAUUAGCUGGAGAAACGCUAUCAGUCAACGAUCCCCCGGACGUUCUGGACAGGCAGAAAUGCCUUGCUGCCUUGGCGUCCCUCCGACACGCCAAGUGGUUCCAGGCCAGAGCCAAUGGACUGAAGUCAUGUGUCAUUGUCAUCCGUGUCCUAAGGGACUUGUGUACCCGAGUGCCCACCUGGGGUCCCCUCAGAGGAUGGCCUCUGGAGCUGCUGUGUGAGAAGUCCAUCGGCACUGCCAAUAGGCCAAUGGGUGCUGGUGAAGCCCUGCGGAGAGUGCUGGAGUGCCUGGCAUCCGGCAUCGUAAUGCCAGAUGGUUCUGGCAUUUAUGACCCUUGUGAAAAAGAAGCCACUGAUGCUAUUGGGCAUCUAGACAGACAGCAACGGGAAGAUAUCACACAGAGUGCGCAGCAUGCUCUGCGGCUUGCUGCCUUUGGUCAACUCCAUAAAGUACUGGGAAUGGACCCCCUGCCUUCCAAAAUGCCCAAGAAACCAAAGAACGAGAACCCGGUGGACUACACUGUUCAAAUUCCUCCCAGCACCACCUAUGCUAUCACACCCAUGAAACGCCCUAUGGAAGAGGAUGGGGAGGAGAAGUCUCCCAGCAAGAAGAAAAAGAAGAUCCAGAAGAAAGAGGAGAAGGCUGAUCCUCCUCAAGCUAUGAAUGCCCUGAUGAGGUUAAAUCAGCUGAAGCCAGGGCUGCAGUACAAGCUGAUCUCCCAGACAGGCCCUGUUCAUGCUCCCAUCUUCACCAUGUCUGUGGAGGUAGACGGCAGUAACUUCGAGGCCUCGGGGCCAUCUAAAAAGACUGCCAAGCUUCAUGUAGCUGUGAAGCAGGGACCGAUUUUGACUAAGCAUGGCAAGAACCCUGUUAUGGAGCUUAAUGAGAAGAGACGUGGCCUCAAAUAUGAGCUCAUUUCUGAGACGGGGGGCAGCCACGACAAAAGGUUUGUUAUGGAGGUUGAGGUGGACGGACAGAAGUUUCAAGGUGCUGGUUCAAACAAAAAGGUGGCAAAGGCUUAUGCUGCACUUGCCGCAUUAGAAAAACUUUUCCCUGAUACCCCUCUUGCUCUUGAAGCCAACAAAAAGAAAAGGACCCCAGUACCUGUCCGAGGUGGACCCAAAUUUGCUGCCAAGCCACACAACCCUGGUUUUGGCAUGGGAGGCCCCAUGCAUAAUGAAGUGCCGCCACCUCCUAACAUCCGAGGUCGGGGCCGAGGAGGUAACAUCCGAGGGCGAGGACGGGGGCGAGGAUUUGGUGGCGCCAACCAUGGAGGAGGCUACAUGAAUGCUGGUGCUGGAUAUGGAAGCUAUGGGUACAGCAGCAAUUCGGCCACAGCAGGCUACAGUGACUUUUUCACAGACUGCUACGGCUAUCAUGAUUUUGGGGCUUCCUAGAGCGUCUAAAAGUAUUGACACAAAAUCAACUUUUUACUCCAAUUUCCUCCAACUCCAAAACCCAAAGUGUCCGUGCUGUGUCCCUGUGCUUCACUGGGGUUCUCAACCGUGGCUUUCCACCGCAGCCUGUCUGAAACUGUUAGCCUGCAGACUUAAGACAAUGGCAGUUUCUAUCAUGAAUUUGCCUUUGAGCUUGGUCAUUUCGAAGUUCACACUAAGUGGAAAAACCCUUUUCUCAGAGAUUUUUUUGUGUGUGUGUGUGUGUGCAGCCUUGCACAGAAUUCUAGAGCCAGCGUUGUUCAGCAUCAAGGCAAAAGCCCACCUUUGCUUUUUAUGGAAAGCAUUCUUUUAUUUAAAGAGACAGAUACUGGCACGUUUAAUCUACCUUUGUCUUAAUUUACAGCAGGUUUUGUAUGCAUUUUUAACCUUUUCACAAGUUUCCACUUCUGGUUGAUGCCUUUGGCAGUGAUGAAACUGUUUCAGCACAUGUGAAUCCACAAUAGCUGACUCUUUCCUUGCCUUUUUACUGAGCAUGUAAACCUCCGGGACGGCCAGGACUGUGGACUGCAUAGAGCAGGGCCUCCCACCUUUUGUAUAUGCUCUGGUGGGUCCUUGGGGCGAGGAGGUUCUGUGGCUGUUUUAGUUAAGAAAGUGAACUCGCAAAGGCAUCAAAACUGCGCUUCCGUUACUUGUGUGAGAAAUGACACAGGCUUGAGAGGAGGAAAUAACGGUAAAAUUUUGCAAGUCCUGAUGGCAGCGUCAGUGACGGACUCCUGGAUUGGAUUUGGCUAUGUUUUCUUUUUCACAAUGGGGCUUUAAAAAUGAGCUGGAAGAGUCUUGACACCAUCACCAGAGGUUUUUCCCAGCUCCCCCUACCCCCACCAUGAUCUACACUGCCUGGCACACAGACACUGAAUCUGUGUGCCUAGAAAUUUGUCCCAGUGUGUAAUGUACAGAGUCCCUUCCUUUUGGUGGGGAGUCUUGUGAUACUGUGGCUAGGCCCCUGCUCUGCAGUCUUUGCUGCAGAACUGCCCCUGCCUUGACUUGCAAGAUUUGACGUUUAUUCAGGCAAAAAGUGGUCAAAAUGGUUACUGUGUGAUUUGUUUCCCAAGGUUCGAAAAGUCAGUGAAACUUUCUAAGAUUUUGCAUGAUGUAUUUUAUUUUAUUUUUAUUUUUUAGAAAGUUAUUGUUGGCAAAUAAUGUCUUUUUAUACCAGGAAAUAGUUCUGAAUGACGUUGAAGACCUACCCUUCCUUAUUACUAUUAUUUUUUAAAUGAAUACAUGUUAAAGUAAUGAGCCCUCCGUACUUGAGUCUUCAUUCAUGCCUGGCUUCAGGCAGGCAGCUCAGUUGCUCAGCAAAGGACCCUGGGGAAGCUAGGGCAGGGUUUGGAGGAGAUACUGGGGUGGGGUUGGGGAGUGGGGAGUGAUGGGGCCCUCGGCUUCCCAGUAUCCUCACUGAGUCUCCAUGUGUUUGCUUUCUUGCAUUGUGGAACACUUCCUCCUGCAGUGUUGUGGCUUUGUGAUGGGGAUGGGAGAGACCUGUCUAGAGGAGGGCCUGCACAGGGGUAUUGCCUCUCCUGGUGCUUGUGCUGGUAGCUGGGGGCAGCAUCAGCAUGGGUGUGAGGUGUGCAUCCACAAGGGGGCAAAGGGAAGGGGUGGUGCCCUUAGUUUUCAACCUGGGAAGGAAGGAAGGACAGGCUUUGUGGGAGUAUCCCUUUAACCUUCUACCUGUCUAGGGCUUGAUGGGUUUCACUGGGCUUAAAAGGUCUGCAUGCUGAGACACCUACUCUGGGAAUCCAGGCUUAUAGGAACUUCAAGGCCCCCGUUGAGCACUGGCUUCCCUUGAGCCUGCCUGGAGAUGGGAACUCCCUUCUUCAGUGGGGCUGAAGUGAUGCCAUGGCCUAGCCCAGCCCAUGCCAUUCCACCAAAGUCUCCAAUAGGGAGCAUGUGACAAACCCAGUGAUUAGAAGUGAGGGCCAGAGACUGUUGGCCGGCCACAGUGCUAGCUCAUCAGUCAUGCCACUGAGACCCAUCAGACAUAGCCUGUGCUUGCCUUCUCAUGAGCCUGGGGAUGCAUUUUGUGCCCACAGUCCUGUGUCUUUCACAGGAAGGGAGGGAGGAAGCUUGGCAAGUGUCUGAGUCUCAAAUCACUGUCUUGAGAGCGCUUGGUCUUUGAAGAAGCAUGGUGGUUAUGGCAGAGCAACUCCUCCUGGGGUCUCCAAGGCUUAUGCCUGUUAAGUUCCUUUCCUGCACGGAGGGGAAAGGGGGUGGCUCACUGCUUCUGGGUGCUUUGCUUUUCCUGUCACCGUUGGGGACAUCUGGGUAGCCGUCAGCUAGUCCUGAAUGUCAUCCACGCUCGGAGCCCAUCUCAUUGUAAUGUUGACAUCUGCAAAGCUGCUGUCGUGCUGCUGCUUGGCAAAGACCCCCUUGUCAUCAGCUGAGGGUGAGUGGAGCUGAAGGCUGGGCUGGCUUAAGCCAGGCUGCCUCGACCAGCAGAGCCUUGUGCUCCAAUCUUUUUCUCGCUGCUCUGAGCAGUCGGCUGCGGGCCAGCCUUCAGGGCCCAUGACUGCUCCUUCCUCCCCUCCCAGCCCUCACCCUGGGACCAUCCAUCUAAUCUGCUGCUUCCCUGUCUAGGUCAGUUCUACAGCAAUGGAGGGCAUUCUGGGAAUGCCGGUGGUGGAGGCAGCGGGGGAGGUGGUGGCUCAUCCAGCUACAGCUCCUACUACCAAGGAGACAGCUACAACUCACCAGUACCCCCGAAGCAUGCUGGGAAGAAGCCGCUGCAUGGGGGCCAGCAGAAAGCCUCCUACAGCUCGGGCUACCAGUCCCACCAGGGCCAGCAGCAACCUUACAACCAGAGCCAGUACAGCAGCUACGGCACGCCACAGGGCAAGCAGAAAGGCUAUGGCCAUGGGCAGGGCAGCUACUCCUCCUACUCCAACUCUUACAACUCCCCAGGUGGUGGUGGGGGCUCUGACUACAGCUACGACAGCAAAUUCAACUACAGUGGGAGUGGAGGCCGGAGUGGAGGCAACAGCUAUGGCUCCAGCGGGUCAUCGUCCUACAACACAGGCUCACAUGGAGGCUAUGGCACAGGCUCCGGAGGCAGCUCUUCAUACCAAGGCAAACAAGGAGGCUACUCAUCACAGUCAAACUACAGCUCACCUGGGUCCAGCCAGAGCUACAGUGGUCCUGCCAGCUCCUACCAGUCCUCACAGGGUGGCUACAGUCGGAACACAGAGCACAGCAUGAACUACCAGUACAGAUAAAGGCCCAGGCUGCCUGCCCCUCUCAACCUUCUGCACCUCUGCCUCCAACUUGUCUCGGGAGAUUGAGUCUGCACAUCACCAGUUGCCAUGUUCACUGGGCCAGUGCCCACCCGUCCACGUUGCUGACAUUGCCACGCUUUGAGGUGUGGUGGUCGCUGGGACCCGUGCCGUGACCCCUAUUUAGCUGUGUUUUGGACUCCGUGUCUUCAGUGGUUUGUUAGUUACCAUUACGUAAACCUUGUCUGAGUAGUGUUCCGAGGUCUUGCCGUUCCGGAUCCCUCUGUCUGUUUAUGCCUGGUGUGAGUUCCAUCGGGUGUCUUUAAAUAGUUGCAGAAGGGAUACGUCAUCUGUUAAUGCUUUUUGUGAAGUGAGUUAAUGAGCCUUCAUUAUUUUAAUGCUUAGUGUUUCAGUUUUAUAAGUGAAAAUUUUAUUUUAAAAAACAGUGGUUUUUUUUUUUGGGUAUGUCUGGAUCAUUCAGACAGUACAUUUGAAUUCCGCUGAAUGUAGAUAAAUAAAAGAAAAACAAAAGAA